rnacentral:rRNA from 1 species
GGAGUCUGGGCCGUGUCUCAGUCCCAAUGUGGCCGAUCAACCUCUCAGUUCGGCUAUCGAUCGUAGACUUGGUGAGCCGUUACCUCACCAACUAUCAUAAUCGACCGCGAGCUCAUCUCACAGCAAAAUUCUUGCGAAUUCCUUUAAUAUGCCAUUCAUGCGAAUACCAUAUGUCAUUGGGUAUUAGCACCCAUUUCUGGCCGUUAUCCCCAUCUGUAAGGCAGAUUGCUCACGUGUUACUCACCCGUCCGCCACUAGGCUAUAACCUAUCAUUCCGAAGAAAUCUAAAUUAUGCCCCGUUCGACUUGCAUGUGUUAGGCGCGCCGCCAGCGUCGUCCUCGAGCCACUGAUCAAACUACU